GUGAGUCAUCGAAUCUUUGAACGCAUCUUGCGCUUGCUGGUAUUCCGGCAAGCAUGCCUGUUUGAGUGUCAUGAAAAUUAUCAACCAUGACUUGGGUUUAGGCCCUUGUUCUUGGCUUGGAUUUGGGUGCUUGCGGUCUUGUGCUGCUCACCUUAAAAGGAUUAGCUGGACAUGUCUUUUGACUUGGUUCUACUUGGCGUAAUAAGUAUUUCGCUGAGGACAUCCCUUCUGGGGUGGCCAAGACUCUGGCAAACGUCUGCUUUCUAACUCGACUGUCCUCGGACAUCACUUUUUAUGAUC
rnacentral:misc_RNA from 1 species